GGAGUCAUUUUGUGGGUUUUCAACGCAAUCCAAUCUCUAGAAAUAUACAAUACACCAACCACCCCAUUUCAGAACAAACUUCGUAGGAACCUUAAUUGUUCAAUUUCAUGGACCAAACGAAAUCGGAUUGAGUCCAAAACUUGGUGAACAUCAUAAUGUUGUGGGAUGAGUCAUUUGGUGAGUUUUGAGCAAAAUCCAAUGGGUAAAACUAUG
rnacentral:lncRNA from 1 species